GGGGCCUUAGCUCAGCUGGUAGAGCACCUGCUUUGCAAGCAGGGGGUCAACGGUUCGAACCCGUUAGGCUCCACCA
rnacentral:tRNA from 2 species